rnacentral:misc_RNA from 1 species
UAAAAAUUUACGAUUAAACGAGUGCUUGAGUUGACUGGGAUUUCAUCCCGCCGUCCCCGUGGUUGUUGACUCUCGUUCUCGCGCCCUCUUUACGCAAACCGAAACUUUCAGUCUCCACUGAACUGAAACUCCUACACAUUGAAUAAUCGUGGUUAUAAAAUCGGCUCUUAUUAUAAUCCUUUCCUGUCCAUUUUGGUUCCAGUUUGAAGAAGAACAUGGUUUGGAAUUAUCCGGGCAUAUCCUUAGAGGAAAUGGUGAAACUAAUAAAAGGGUUUGUAGAUAUCUUGAUUCUGGCAUCUGGGUAUCAGUCCUCUGGUCUGUUAGCCCAGUGGGAUGCCCACAAUAUCAAGAAAGCCUUUCACUGGGCUUCAUUUUUUGAGAAUGUGCUUCGGCAAAUAAGUAGCUCAGAUGCUUACCAGGACUCAGUUAAGGAGCUUGAUGUAGCUAUCCGAGAAAUGACAUCCAAUCCUUCUUUUCCUCCGGGACUUGCAAAUCUAUCCUAUGGUACUCUUAAUAGGGCAAGAAAUUUUGUACUGGCACAUUUGUUCCAUACUUUGCCAUUGAGGGAUUCACAUCUCAGGGCUUUUCUAACUGCAAUAAUUGAGAUGGAUCUUGAUAAGCAUUCGGGAUCAGAGCAUGAGUGCCUUAGUGUAUAUCUCAACAAGUUUAACUUGGUUCCAGAACGGAGCGGUCUUGUUAAGGAUUCAGUUAUUGCAGUUGAAGACAUUACUCCAACUAUGAAGCUUGGAAGAUUCACGGAUGAUGACUUGACAAAGUUUACUCUUCAGGAGCUGUUCAAGAGGCAGUCGGCAGUGUCAUGCAUAUCUAAAGUUGGGACCGGCUUAGAUAUCCUCUCUAAGGCCAUCAGAUGUUGUAGUUGGACUGAUUCUGAUAGUAGCUUAUCUGAAGAACACCUGAAGCACGAAGGAGCUCAAACUUCAGUGGGGAGUGCAGAUCAAUUGGUUGAUUUUAUUACAUGGCAUCGCUGGAAAUCAUUGAACCUCUCAUAUUUUCUUCAUAAGCGAACUGUCAGAUUGGUGUCAGGUGCCAGCAUGAUAUUUUCUGCCCCUAAGUUUAAAUGGUUGCAAAUUUUUGAAUGGCUGAAUACUUCAGCAAAAUGCAAGGAGGAUGAUGAUUUGCAGGAAACAAUAGAACUCAUGUUGCUUGGAUGCAUUACAAACAAAUGGAAUCACCUAAUUGAAUAUUUCAUGUCAGUUUCUUAUGAUCCCUUCACUAUCUCAAAGCUGUAUCAUGAAGUCUGCAGUUUAUUUACUGGAAGAUCUCAAAGUUCUCACUCCAAAGAGGAAUCAACAGAUUCAAAGGUGUGUGUAUGCUUAUGGUAUAAAUCUGCAUAUACAUGCAAAUGUACAGUAUCCGUUGACCUGGAGCAUAAAAUUUCUAGUAUUUUUCUACUUUCAUGACUUCCUCUGUUGAUGCAGUUUUUAUUGGUUGAAUUGUUGAAUCGAUAUUUUCCUUUGUGCACAUGCGUGCCCUUUUUUUCUGCCAAUGUUAACUGUUCUAUCUGAGUAUGGACUUUUGUUGUGAAGAUUAUAAGGUGAAACUUCAGUAUUCAUAAGGAUGAGAUAGUUAUUCAUUUGAUUGAUUUAAAAUUUGUGAAGGAUAUGUGGGAAUACAUUAUUUGACUAAAUGGCAGUUUCUCUCUCUCUCUUAAAAUAGAAUGCCUUAACAUGUUCUGCAGUAGUGUAAAGACUGGUAAUUCUUAGAGCUAGUGUGAGUCAAUGGUGCCUUUUAUACUCUUACUGUGUCCACUCACACAUGAACAUAACAUGCAUGCAUGUUCCAUUGGUUCUUUCGGUAGUUUUUUAUGGGAUAUUGUUGAUUUUUUCGCUAAUCAAUUAUUGUUCAUUUUUUCCUGUAGCUUAGCUUUCAUCAAUUUUGUUCUAGUUCUACUUUGUAUAUCAAAGUGGAUCAUUGCUCUUCUAGCAUUAAAUUUCAAAGGUGUUGCUAGGUUAUGCUACUAGUUUGUCUAGAUGAGUUGAUGUUUGGAUAAUUUUGUUUUCUUAAAUUAAAGAAAUUGUGCACUUUUGGAGUUUUCUUCAAGGUACUGUAAAUAGCUGUAGAUGCGGCAUGUAUGUAUGUAUGUGUGUGUAUAUUUGUGUGUCUGUGUCAGGAACCAUGCGCACACCUAGCUGUAAGUAUGAUGCUCUGGGCUUAGUGCAUGUUAGUGGCUUUCACUUUUUGUGGUUAGUUUGAGGAUACUGUUUUUGGUAGCUUAUAUUGGGAGCUAACUGAGGUGAAUGUGAACAAGCAUAAGGAUGGUGACGUCAACUGCCUCAUUCAGCGUGAGGGGGACAAGGUCCAGCGCUAGUCCUAACAACUAUUGUUACAUUAAUGUCAUUGCAUGGAUGCUGCAGUGGGCAUUUGUUAGGACACACUAGUACUUGAGUGCUCGUGAUGCCCAGUGGAAUGAACAUUUCAAGGCUGGAUAGCUUUGACUACACACCUUAUUAUCCUUUCUUAUGGUAUUACUGAAACUUUUGCAAAAUUGAAUGAAUAAGGGAUUCCUGUCUGAAUGAAUUAUAUUAUUUCCAUUUUCCAGUCCCUCUUCACUUGAGUUUAUAUACAUGUUAUUUAGUUAAUUAUUGGCUGGUGUGGUGAAUGCUUUUACAUUUGGCUUAUUGCUCCAAUCCUUUUUGUGUUCAUCUGUAUCGCUUCUUGUGACUGAUUCUUGCAGUUGAUAACAGGAAAAUGCCAUUCUUGAGUAUUUGGAUAGGUUGCUGGGUGGACAGCUUCAUCAAUUAUGGAAACUAUCCCCUGUCCUUGUUGCUGUUGCAAUACCAUUCUGGUGGUCAUAUGGUUCUUCUUUUCAAUGUUUUGGCAUGCUAUGAAUUUGAAAUCAGUUUAGUUAUGUAAAAAGGAAUCAUGUUGAGUUUUUACAUUAUACACUUGUUAUGGCUGUACAAUUUUCAUCAUAUAUCAACAUUCAAUUAGUCAAACCCUCUCCUCCAAAUAACUUUAAAAAACAAAAAGGAAGAAUGGAAAACCUCAAAGGAGAUGUUCAGUUGCUAUGGAUUUUACAUGCUCUUUCCAUGACACACUAAUAUCAAUAGAAUAUAAAAAUGCCUGUAGGUGGCACUGUGGCAGAUUUCUCAUUAAAGAUGCUGAUAUUUGGUGUUGUAGGUCUCCUCUGUUUAGGUUGUAUCUAAGUGAAAUAGAGAGUCAAUUCAAAGGAGAUUCUUCAGUGAUGAGGUUUUGUCCUUUUAACUGUCUGCCAUCCUCGUUCUGAAUUAAAAAUUUUGACACGAUAUUUUUCAUAAUUUUCUUUACCAAUUGACCUUUGGUUAAUUAUGCAGAUGCUGCAGUUGUGUCCUAGAUAGGAAGGAGCAUGAAGAUUGUCAACUAGCUGAGAGAAUUUGGUGUCUUCACAUCUUUCAUAUUUGUGGCUUUCAUGUAAUGUAUGGUGCCAAUAGUGCUUGAAAGUUGAGCACUACCAUGUUGACAUUGGUGAGAGUCUCUACCCUACAUGUCUUUGCAAAUAUAUUGAAGUUGUCUUUGCAGGACUCAGAAUUUUCCCUUCAGUUGUAUUUGUUAUUUUUUUGAAACUAAUGGAUAUUAAAAAAAAUGAUUUUUUUUUUCAAAAUAAUGCAAAUAUUUAAUGAUUUUAUCCUUACUUUGAUUUAGUUGUCUGGAUGGAGACAGAAAGGUUUUACUUGAGUAGACCGAUUUGCAACUAACAGAAAUCUUGUUUAGAUAUCACAAUUUACAAAUAUAAUUUCUUGAUUUUCUUUUGGGGUUGAAGAUUCCAGUGCUGCAACUGCAACUAAUGGUUACAUAAUUAAAAUCCCUAGAUUUUUGCUAGCAUAAGAUUUAUGCCUUGCUAUCAAGUGAAUUCCUGGCUAUCUAUAAUGUCAGGAGUAGUUUUUCCUAUGAAAUUUAGACAAUUCUUGUAUUGUGUUCAAUUUGCGUCCCUUCUUGAAAUCUUUUCAAAGUUUUCAUCCAACAUGUCCCUUGAUUCUUUAUGUUGAAUAACAGUUUGAAAUCUCUUUGGAUUCUUCCUUAGUGAAUUGGUGGUUGUAUCUGUGGAGUUUGAUUCACAUCUAAAUGCCAAAAUAGGAUUUGUAUAUAGAUCUACAGGGAAUCACUGUUGUGACUCGUGAGGUUGUCUGAACUUUGAAUAGCUUUUACCUUGGUGUAUCCAAAUUUGUUUGUACUAAAUUUUGCGUUUCCUGAGUUAACAUCUUGCUUAUGCGAUAACUAUUCAUCUUAAUAUAAUUUGAACCUUUUUUUUUAUGCUUCAGAAUGUCUACCCUACAAAACCAUUUUUAGUGUGAUUAUAUCAGGUCUCUCUCACUCUUUAGGUAUGGAUGGCGUGGACCAUUAUGUUAGAGAGCAAACCUCAUCUUUUUAUUAUUUUUUUAACGGAUGCUUCCUGGCAACUUCAUCAACCAUGAGUAAAACAGAAUGAAAACCAGAAACAGGUAAACACUAGCUACUUUUUGGAAGACGGGCCAGAGUAAAAGUGCAUAUCAUUACUGUUGACAUUACAUCACUUGCUGCAUGUGUCUUGUCCUUUCUUCAUGUUGGGACCCAAAAGGCUAGUGAUAGAAGCAAAGUUGAAUGUUCCCUUGAUGAUAAUGUUUUUUGGCCUCCACUAAUGGGAGAAUGACAUCUGAUGUCAUUGACAGUGCCUCCUAUUAAUGGGAAUGAUACUUGAAAGCUCAACUUAUGGUUUUCUCUUAUGAUUGUGGGGUUCUAUUGUAUUACCAUGUAUCUAGAGUCGAGAAAGAAGUUAGAAAUGAAAAUUUUGAGCUUACAAGGUGUAAAGAAAAACCAAUUGCAAAAGUGGGGGAAGAGAAUUGCAAGCACGGAGUCUGCCAUUACACAUGGUAACGUAAAAAUUCGAGGAUCAUUUAGUUGUUUCUGUGGAUCACAUGUCUUGAGGCAGCUGGUAUGGAAGUUCAGGACAAAAUGGAAGCAAGCUUUGGGAUGGCAAAGGAGCAGUGUACGAUACAGCUAUGAUCUUCACAGCUAUUCUCUUAACUUUGACGAUGGUCUCCACCAUGGUCAUCUUGCAUCAAAGGGUUCUCAAUGAAAGUUUUCUCCCAUUCAGCAACAGGUCAUCUGGUUGUUAUCUGUUAGUUCACAGGACCAUUUGGCAUACAUACAUGGUUUUCUAAAGAUACUGGUGGUAUUUUCUUGAUCAGUCCAUUACGCAUUAUUUUUGAGUUAUAAUUUCAAUAAUGUUACUUUGCUUUACUGUGAGAGUUGCAAGGAACUGUCAAUGGCAUGUUGUAUAGCAUCUGAGACAUGUCUUAAUCUGGAGCUCUUUGAAGAGCAUUUUGUACUUGUUUUGAAAUGUUCUUCGUUACUUGCUGGCUUUCUGUGUUUAAAGAUUUCUUUUUGUUUAUAGAAAUGGAUUCCUGACCCAUUUCUGGAUUUUGUUGCACAAUUUUCUUGUCAACACUCUGCAAAGCUUAGUAGGUGCUACCCAACAUUUCCUUCAACAGGAUAAUCCUGAGAGCCUUUUUCGGAUGGCCAUGUCCCAUAUUUCCUGGAAUGGAACUGGUUUUGUUGCUUGCCUCUCCAGUAUCAG